CAGUAGCCGCGGGAAUACGGAGGGGGCUAGCGUUGUUCGGAAUUACUGGGCGUAAAGCGCACGUAGGCGGCUUGGUAAGUUAGAGGUGAAAGCCCGGAGCUCAACUCCGGAAUUGCCUUUAAGACUGCCGAGCUAGUAGGUGAGAGAGGUAAGUGGAAUUCCGAGUGUAGAGGUGAAAUUCGUAGAUAUUCGGAAGAACACCAGUGGCGAAGGCGGCUUACUGGCUCAUUCUAGACGCUGAGGUGCGAAAGCGUGGGGAGCAAACAGGAUUAGAUACCCCCGUAGUCCCUGUCUCUUAUAC
rnacentral:rRNA from 1 species